rnacentral:rRNA from 1 species
ACCCCGCCAGCUAGCCCCAGCCUCUAAAAACAUAUAACCAUUAUUACUACCCCCAAUAUUCGGCACAAAUUAAACCAUUUUUCCACCUAAGUAUGGGAGACAGAAAAAGACACACGGAGCAAUAGAAAAAGUACCGCAAGGGAAAGCUGAAAAAGAAAUGAAAUAAUCCACAAAGGACUAAAACAGCAGAGAUUAAUUCUCGUACCUUUCGCAUCAUGAGUUAAUUAGUAUCCCCCAAGCAAAGCGCACUUUAGUUUGAAUACCCGAAACUAUGUGAGCUACUCCAAAGCAGCCUUAUAUAAAGGGCAAACCCGUCUCUGUGGCAAAAGAGUGGGAAGACUUUCGAGUAGAGGUGACAAACCUACCGAACUUAGUAAUAGCUGGUUGCCUAAGAAUUGAAUAAAAGUUCAGCCUUUUAAUUUCUCCCGUCCACCUGGAAUUUAAACCAAGCCCAGACCACAAGAAGCCAAAAGAGUUAGUCGAUGGGGGUACAGCCCCCUCGAAGCAAGACACAACUUUACUAGAAGGUAAAAGAUCAUAUUUUUCUAAACGCCGUAUCAGUGGGCCUAAAAGCAGCCACCAAUCAGAAAGCGUUACAGCUCAAACACCUAUCAAGCAAUAUAAAGAUUAACAACCUUAAACCCCUAAAUCUACUAGGCCCCUCCAUGCUAACAUGGAAGUGACCCUGCUAAUAUGAGUAAUAAGAGGACUCUAGGCCCUCUCCUGGCACCAGUAUAAACCAUAACGAACCCCAAUGAAAAUUAACGCCCCCAGACAAAGAGGGAAUUGAACAACACACACAUUACCCAGAAGAAUGUUCAAUAAAUUAACGUUAACCCCACACAGGAGUGCCCAAGGAAAGACUAAAAGGAAAAGAAGGAACUCGGCAAACACAAGCCCCGCCUGUUUACCAAAAACAUCGCCUCUUGCACUUAAAAUAUAAGAGGUCCUGCCUGCCCUGUGACUCAAAGUUUAACGGCCGCGGUAUUUUAACCGUGCGAAGGUAGCGCAAUCACUUGUCUCUUAAUUAGAGACCUGUAUGAAUGGCAUAACGAGGGCUAAACUGUCUCCUUUCCCCAGUCAAUGAAAUUGAUCUGCCCGUGCAGAAGCGGGCAUAAUAUCGUAAGACGAGAAGACCCUAUGGAGCUUUCAGACAAAGGACAGACUACGUUAAAUACCCCAAAUAAAGGAACUAACCAGAUAGUACCUGUCCCCGUCUUUGGUUGGGGCGACCGCGGGGAAACAACCAACCCCCGCGUGGAAUAAGUAUACAUCCACUUUAAAGCCAGAGCCACAGCUCUAACAAACAAAACGUUUGACCAUGUAAGAUCCGGCACUGCCGAUCAACGGACCGAGUUACCCUAGGGAUAACAGCGCAAUCCCCUUAUAGAGCCCAUAUCGACAAGGGGGUUUACGACCUCGAUGUUGGAUCAGGACAUCCUAAUGGUGUAACCGCUAUUAAGGGUUCGUUUGUUCAACGAUUAAAGUCCUACGUGAUCUGAGUUCAGACCGGAGAAAUCCAGGUCAGUUUCUAUCUACGAAAUGUUAUUUUCUAGUACGAAAGGACCGAAAAGAAGAGACCACUGCUUAAAACAAGUCUCACCCCCACCCACUGAAGGCAACUAAAGUAGACAAGAGGGCAUUCACCCCGCCCAAGAGAAGGGCAU